GAAGUCAGAUAUAACACAGUAGCCGCACCUGAGCGCGAGUGCCCAAUAGUGUUUGAUCUCGGAAGCUAAACAGGGCUGUGCCUGGUUCGUACUUGGAUGGAAGACCAACUUGGAAGACCAGAAGUGGCUAGCCUCA
rnacentral:rRNA from 12 species